GACGAACGCUGGCGGCGUGCCUAAUACAUGCAAGUCGAGCGGACAGAAGGGAGCUUGCUCCCGGAAGUCAGCGGCGGACGGGUGAGUAACACGUGGGCAACCUGCCCUGCAGAUUGGGAUAACUCCGGGAAACCGGGGCUAAUACCGAAUAACAUUGGAAACCUCAUGGUUUCCUUUUAAAAGGCGGCUUCGGCUGUCACUGCAGGAUGGGCCCGCGGCGCAUUAGCUAGUUGGUGAGGUAACGGCUCACCAAGGCGACGAUGCGUAGCCGACCGGAGAGGGUGAGCGGCCACACGGGGACUGAGACACGGCCCAGACUCCUACGGGAGGCAGAAGUAGGGAAUCUUCCGCAAUGGACGAAAGUCUGACGGAGCAACGCCGCGUGAGUGAAGAAGGUUUUCGGAUCGUAAAACUCUGUUGUCAGGGAAGAACAAGUACGGUAGUAACUGCCCGUACCUUGACGGUACCUGGCCAGAAAGCCACGGCUAACUACGUGCCAGCCGCCGCGGUAACAC
rnacentral:rRNA from 1 species